CAGUAAGUAUUUUAUUAAAAUUUAAAUUUUGGGGAUUUAAGAUAUGUGUUAGACAUUUUACUGA
rnacentral:tRNA from 1 species